rnacentral:rRNA from 1 species
CCUACGGGUGGCAGCAGUGGGGAAUAUUGGGCAAUGGGCGCAAGCCUGACCCAGCAAUGCCGCGUGAAGGAAGAAGGCUUUCGGGUUGUAAACUUCUUUGACAGGGGAAGAGCAGAAGACGGUACCCUGAAAACAAGCCACGGCUAACUACGUGCCAGCAGCCGCGGUAAUACGUAGGUGGCACGCGUUGUCCGGAUUUACUGGGUGUAAAGGGCGUGUAGCCGGGAAGGUAAGUCAGAUGUGAAAUCUGGAGGCUCCACCUCCAAAUUGCAUUUGAAACUGUUUUGCUUGAGUAGUGGAGAGGCAGACGGAAUUCGUGGUGUAGCGGUGAAAUGCGUAGAUAUAAGGAGGAACACCAGUGGCGAAGGCGGUAUGCUGGACAGCAACUGACGGUGAGGCGCGAAAGCGUGGGGAGCAAACAGGAUUAGAUACCCCGGUAGUC